UGAUGGGCGAUCCCCCGUGUAAGAGUGAGGUGGAGGAGGACAUUCCAGGAGAUGUCACCAUAGAGAGUUCCAGUAAAAAUAUUAAGAGCAAAGCUAUAUUAUCACUAAAUUAUAAAGAAGAAGAUAAAGAUCUCCUGCAGCUCUCCUCAGGAGAAAACC